UCAAUCAGUUAGUAGUUGGAGACAUUGUUAGUCACUCCAAUUAAUUGACAUAUGACAUCUAACUAACCUCAUUCUUAUAGAGAAUAUACUGCGUUAAGGUUUAUUGAAAUUAAUAUGGUUAAACAAGGAGGAAUUACAUCUUUUUUCAAAGCAAUUUAUCAAGAUGAAUUCAAAUGGGCACUUUUGAAAUCGAUUGGCAUUUUUGCUUUGGGCAUUAAAAUUGCCCAGGAAUGUGCAGGAAUGGAGCUAUUGCCAAGUAAUGUUUAGCAAAAUUUAUUUUAAGUUUAUGUUUUUGUUCAAAUCCAAAUAUAUAUAAUGUGUGAGA